rnacentral:rRNA from 1 species
GUGGGGUAACGGCCUACCAAGGCGAUGACGGGUAGCUGGCGUGAGAGCGCGACCAGUCACACUGGGACUGAGACACGGCCCAGACUCUUACGGGAGGCAGCAGUGGGGAACAUUGCGCAAUGGGCGAAAGCCUGACACAGCGACGCCGCGUGGGGGAGGAAGGCCUCAGGGUUGUAAACCCCUGUCAGGUGGGACGAACCCCGGAUCGAGUAAUACACGGUCCGGCUGACGGCACCACCAGAGGAAGCUCCGGCUAACUCCGUGCCAGCAGCCGCGGUAAUACGGAGGGAGCUAGCGUUGUUCGGAGUUACUGGGCGUAAAGGGCGCGUAGGCGGUCGGGUAAGUCGGGUGUGAAAUUCCGGGGCUCAACCCCGAGAACUGCAUCCGAUACUGCUCGACUUGAGAGAGGUAGGGGCGAGUGGAAUUCCCGGUGUAGCGGUGGAAUGCGUAGAUAUCGGGAAGAACACCGGUGGCGAAGGCGGCUCGCUGGACCUUUUCUGACGCUGAAGCGCGAAAGCGUGGGGAGCAAACAGGAUUAGAUACCCUGGUAGUCCACGCCGUAAACGAUGGGUACUAGGUGUUGGGAGGAUUGACCCUUUCAGUGCCGACGCUAACGCAUUAAGUA